rnacentral:rRNA from 1 species
GUCAAGUACAAAGAGCAUCGGGUGGAUGCCUUGGCACUGGGAGCCGAAGAAGGACGUGAUAAGCUGCGAUAAGCUGCGGUAAGGAGCACAUAUCCGAUAUACCCGCAGAUUUCCGAAUGGGGGAACCCACAUACGGUAAUGCGUAUGUAUCAUUAAGUGAAUACAUAGCUUAAUGAAGGGAACGGGGUGAACUGAAACAUCUAAGUAGCCCUAGGAAGAGAAAGAAAAAUCGAUUUCCUGAGUAGCGGCGAGCGAAAGGGAAAGAGGCCAAACCAAAUUGUUUACAGUUUGGGGUUGUGGACCACCGACAUUGACGAAGUUAUGCGAGCCGAAUAGGGUUGGAAAGCUCAAGCAGAGAAGGUAAUACUCCUGUAGGCGAAGCAGAAAGCGCAUAGGUGGCACCAGAGUAGGACCGGACACGUGUAACCCGGUCUGAAGCAGGAGGGACCACCCUCCAAGCCUAAAUACUACCCAGUGACCGAUAGCGAAUAGUACCGUGAGGGAAAGGUGAAAAGAACCCCGGGAGGGGAGUGAAAUAGAAUCUGAAACCUGAUGCUUACAAGCAUAGGGAGCGCAAGUGACCUAGUACUUUUUGUAGAACGGGCCAACGAGUUAUGGUAUGUAGCGAGGUUAAGUUGCUGGAGCAACGGAGCCGUAGAGAAAUCGAGUCUGAAUAGGGCGAGAGUUACAUGCUGUAGACCCGAAACCGGGUGACCUAUCCAUGAGCAGGUUGAAGUAACCGUAAAAGGUUAUGGAGGACCGAACCUAUAUCUGUUGAAAAAGGUUAGGAUGACUUGUGGAUAGCGGUGAAAUUCCAAUCGAACUCGGAUAUAGCUGGUUCUCCUCGAAAUAGCUUUAGGGCUAGCCUCAAGGUAAAGAUACACGGGGGUAGAGCACUGACUGUUCGCGGGGCCUUCACCGGUUACCAACAACUAUCAAACUCCGAAUACCGUGCUAUCAUACUUGGGAGUCAGACUAUGAGAGAUAAGUUCCAUGGUCGAAAGGGAAACAGCCCAGAUCAACAGCUAAGGUCCCAAAGAGUAAGUUAAGUGGAAAAGGAUGUGGGAUUGCACAAACAGCUAGGAUGUUGGCUUAGAAGCAGCCAUACAUUUAAAGAGUGCGUAAUAGCUCACUAGUCGAGUGAUCCUGCGCCGAAGAUAAACGGGGCUCAAACUUACCACCGAAGCUUUGGAAUUAGUAUAACUAAUUGGUAGAGGAGCAUUCUAUACAGGUAGAAGGAGGCGCGUAAGCAAAUCUGGACGGUAUAGAAGAGAGAAUGUUGGCAUGAGUAGCGUAAGGCGGGUGAGAAUCCCGUCCGCCGAAAAUCUAAGGUUUCCUGAGGAAGGUUCGUCCUCUCAGGGUAAGUCGGGACCUAAGCCGAGAGCGAACGCUGUAGGCGAUGGACAACAGGUUGAUAUUCCUGUACCACCAAGGAUUGUUUGAAUGAAGUGGGGACACAGAAGGAUAGAUUGAGCACGCCGUUGGUUGAGCGUGUCCAAGCAGCAAGGCUUGAAAGUAGGCAAAUCCGCUUUCUACAAGGCUGAGCUGUGAUGGGGUGGUCGAAUGACCGGUAGCAAUCGAUUUCACGCUGUCAAGAAAAGCCGCUAAUGAGAUCCAAGGUGCCCGUACCGCAAACCGACACAGGUAGAUGAGGAGAGAAUCCUAAGGUGAGCGAGCGAACUAUUGUUAAGGAACUCGGCAAAAUAACCCCGUAACUUCGGGAGAAGGGGUGCCUGCUUCGGCAGGCCGCAGUGAAGAGGUCCAGGCAACUGUUUACCAAAAACACAGGUCUCUGCUAAAGCGAAAGCUGAUGUAUAGGGGCUGACGCCUGCCCGGUGCUGGAAGGUUAAGGGGAAGUGUUAGGGCAACCGAAGCACAGAACUUAAGCCCCAGUAAACGGCGGCCGUAACUAUAACGGUCCUAAGGUAGCGAAAUUCCUUGUCGGGUAAGUUCCGACCCGCACGAAAGG